rnacentral:lncRNA from 13 species
UUAACAACGACACCAGUAUCCACAGGACCUUAACUUGGAAGAAUUUCAGGGGCUAAGAACUUUUUCCUGGAAGCAUUCCCCUCA